rnacentral:rRNA from 1 species
UGCCAGCCGCCGCGGUAAUACGUAGGGGGCAAGCGUUGUCCGGAUUUACUGGGUGUAAAGGGCGCGUAGGCGGAUUUAUAAGUCAGAGGUGAAAUCCUGCAGCUCAACUGUAGAACUGCCUUUGAAACUAUAAAUCUUGAGUACGGAAGAGAGAGACGGAAUUCCAGGUGUAGUGGUGAAAUACGUAGAUAUCUGGAAGAACACCAGUGGCGAAGGCGGUCUCUUGGUCCGAUACUGACGCUGAGGCGCGAAAGCGUGGGGAGCAAACAGGAUUAGAUA